UGCUCGAAACACUUUCAUUAGUCACCAAGAAAAUGCAGACGCAGCCAAGAACUGCCAUUUGACUUGGCUCUGGUAAAAUCUUAUCUAACUGAGAACAGAGAGCACAGAAACAACGAAGAAAAAACAAGCCAGCAGCGAGUAUGAGCCUGACCUGAACAAAGGGGGACAAGCAACCAGGAGGCCGGACACCAGAACGGCCAGAAAGGUACCAUGGUCAGAGUCCGAGCCUACCGGAUCCCGGAGAGCCAGAGGGAAGCCGUCCGGGAAGAGACCUGAACAAACUGCUUUAAAAGGGAGACAAGCAACCAGGAGGCCGGACAUCAGAACGGCCAGAAAGGUCUCCCUGAUCUGGUUUAUGCUACUCUGAGCUACCUAGUUUCCUGUUUCUGGUCUGAUGUCCCCCACCCCUGCUGU